ensembl:lncRNA
GCGAGCAGUAGAAGCGGUUUCGUGUUCCGUCUCCCCUCAGUGACCGCAGCUGGAGGUUGCGCUCAAAAUGGCUGGAGGAAAACAGUUAUGAAGAUCAGCCGUUUUGCAAGAUAUCUCCUCUGAUUAUGACCUCCGAAGCGGAGUGAAGACGAACCCUCCGGUCUCCCGGGGACUCGGGGCUGAAGUCACCGCGCCUGACUCACUUCCUCCUCUCCUGCUCUCUGACAGGAAGGGGUUACUCUCCACAUUUCCUGUCCAAUUCCCAGCGCCGGGCCUGCGCACUGAUUACCUUCUUGAUGUUAAACAUUCCCAGGCUCCCAUAACCUUCUUGCUCGCCCCGUACCGUCCAAGCGCCUGUCCCAGGUGAGCGUGUGGGCGAAACACUCCUGCUUUUUUAAAAGGAUAACAUCUUUCCAUUUUUCUUUUUACAACGUGGGUUUCGGAAAAAAGGGAGAGAAAGGGAGUGAGAGGGAGAGCCGGAGGAGGUGCGAUUGUUGAGAGGGCGACAUUCUUCACUCGCUGCAUUCCCCAGCACCGGACUAAUGGGGAAACAUGUUUUCCCAACCUUGUUUUGUGUGAAACGGCCGUUUUUCUUUUAAGGUGGCGUUUGGCCAUUUGGUUGCGAAACUGUUCACAGCCUCCUCCUGUUCUCAUGCUCCCUGCUCUGACUCUGUGUAUCACUGAGUGAUGCCGUUGUAGGGAUGGGGGUACAGUUGUGACCCUAGACCUGGUGGGAGAGUUAAGGUCUCCCGGGCGUACACAACACACGGCUUAACCCAGGCGUGUGUGUCGUUCUAUUUGGGCGGCAUACAGGUCAGAAGGUAGGGCGGGUUGGCUGGUAACCGGAAGGUUGCUAGUUCAAUUCCCGGCUCGUCCUCCGGAGUGUCAAGGUGUCCCUGAGCGAGACGCCUCACCCUAACUGCUCCCAACGAGCUAGCUGUCGCCUUGCAUGGCUGACACCGCCAUGUGUGUGUGUGUGUGUGUGUGAAUGGGUGAAUGUGUUCGGCAAUAUCGUAAAGCGC